rnacentral:lncRNA from 1 species
ACGCGAGGAGGGUUGAGGGGUCUGGAAGGUUCUGGUCUCUUACCGUAUAAAGUUUUUCGAGAAACCCUUUUUCCCUCCACAAUGGAACUAGACCUAACAAAACAAGCUCCGAGGCAGUUUAGGAGAAAGGAGGACGCAUUUGCAAGUGAGGAAGCAGCACAACCCUGGGUUUUAGAUAAUUUCUAACAGAGAGGCCCCAGCAAUUCAGCAGGCAGCGUCCUGAGUCUUUGGCAGCCUGGUCCCUCUUUCGCAAAUUCUCCACCUUUGCGAACAGAGGGUCUUUAGGACACAGAUUCUUAAAAGUGCAGGUAAGC